UUGAUUUUGUGUGCACCACGGAAUCUGUACUGGCAAGCUCACAUUUCAGUGCCACUUACCAUAUAGGUGCGUAUGUUAGUAGUUAUGUCAUGCACAUUUCAUGCUCGACAUAAUCUGCUGUGACAUUUUUUCUAUCCACAGAAUUGCACGUUCUCAAUGAGUUGCAGAUGCAACAAGAAUCGUUUACACCACGAGAAUAUGAUUGCAAGUACCAUUAGACAGCCUGCGGGCACCAUAGACUGUAGCCAGGCGAGUAGGGGAAAGGACAGCAUGUAUGUCAGCUCCCUAGAGAGCAAGGUUGCAGACAACUUCAGCUGUAGGGGGCACAGAUGAAGAAUUUUGGUGGGACAGCUUGCAGGAGGACACUGCUGGUCAUGCAUAUCUAGAUGUCCUGCAAGGCUUACUGCAGUUUCUGCGGUGAAGAUUAGCAACUUUCCAACAACCAUGCUUCAGUCGCUCAGGAAACAAUGCUUAGGAGCACGAGGCCAGAUCCUAAUGUGAAGCAAGGACCAGAAUAACAGCUCUUGAAUCAAUCAGAAAAUGUAGAGGUCAUCAGUGUAUUAUCUCUGAACCUAUGAAAGGACAGUAAAAAGGCUGAAGGCUGCUUUUGAGAGAGCAAUAAUAAUAUGGAGGGAGUUGCCAAGAUAGCACAGCUGAUCGAGAACACAGUCUAAGAAGAACACCAUCACAAUUCAUUUCAGAAAAUGUGUCCAGCUUUUCCUAUCCAUGGUCAGCAAGCUUUUGUAUGCAAAGCUGGGUAAAGAAUAAAACAAUAAAAAAAAAUUAUUAAAAACA